AGAGUUUGAUCCUGGCUCAGGAUGAACGCUGGCGGCGUGCUUAACACAUGCAAGUCGAACGGAGUACCCUUGAAGGAGUUUUCGGACAACUGAUAGGACUACUUAGUGGCGGACGGGUGAGUAACGCGUGAGUAACCUGCCUUGGAGUGGGGAAUAACAGCUGGAAACAGCUGCUAAUACCGCAUGAUGCAGUUGGGUCGCAUGGCUCUGACUGCCAAAGAUUUAUCGCUCUGAGAUGGACUCGCGUCUGAUUAGCUAGUUGGCGGGGCAACGGCCCACCAAGGCGACGAUCAGUAGCCGGACUGAGAGGUUGGCCGACCACAUUGGGACUGAGACACGGCCCAGACUCCUACGGGAGGCAGCAGUGGGGAAUAUUGGGCAAUGGGCGCAAGCCUGACCCAGCAACGCCGCGUGAAGGAAGAAGGCUUUCGGGUUGUAAACUUCUUUUCUUAGGGACGAAGAAAGUGACGGUACCUAAGGAAUAAGCCACGGCUAACUACGUG
rnacentral:rRNA from 1 species